CAGAUCAACGCUGGCGGCGUGCCUAACACAUGCAAGUCGAACGAGAAAGGGACUUCGGUCCUGAGUAAAGUGGCGCACGGGUGAGUAACACGUGACUAACCUACCCUUGAGUGGGGAAUAACUAGGAGAAAUCUUAGCUAAUACCGCAUAAUACCUACGGGUCAAAGGAGCAAUUCGCUUAAGGAGGGGGUCGCGGCAGAUUAGUUAGUUGGCGGGGUAAUGGCCCACCAAGACAGUGAUCUGUAUCCGGCCUGAGAGGGCGCACGGACACACUGGAACUGAAACACGGUCCAGACUCCUACGGGAGGCAGCAGUGGGGAAUUUUGCGCAAUGGGGGAAACCCUGACGCAGCAACGCCGCGUGGAGGAUGAAGUCCCUUGGGACGUAAACUCCUUUCGAUCGGGACGAUAAUGACGGUACCGAGAGAAGAAGCCCCGGCUAACUUCGUGCCAGCAGCCGCGGUAAUACGAGGGGGGCGAGCGUUGUUCGGAAUUAUUGGGCGUAAAGGGUGCGUAGGCGGUUCGGUAAGUCUUGUGUGAAAUCUUCGGGCUCAACUCGAAGUCUGCACCAGAAACUGCCGGGCUUGAGUAUGGGAGAGGUGAGUGGAAUUUCCGGUGUAGCGGUGAAAUGCGUAGAUAUCGGAAGGAACACCUGUGGCGAAAGCGGCUCACUGGACCAUAACUGACGCUGAUGCACGAAAGCUAGGGGAGCAAACAGGAUUAGAUACCCUGGUAGUCCUAGCCCUAAACGAUGAUCGCUUGGUGUGACGGGUACCCAAUCCCGCCGUGCCGAAGCUAACGCGUUAAGCGAUCCGUCCUG
rnacentral:rRNA from 1 species